GCUUGUUGGUGGGGUAACGGCCUACCAAGGCGACAAUGUCUAGGGGCUCUGAGAGGAGAAUCCCCCACACUGGUACUGAGACACGGACCAGACUCCUACGGGAGGCAGCAGUAAGGAAUAUUGGUCAAUGGAGGGAACUCUGAACCAGCCAUGCCGCGUGCAGGAAGACGGCCCUACGGGUUGUAAACUGCUUUUGCACGGGAAUAACCCUCAUUAUGUAUAAUGAGCUGAAUGUACCGUGAGAAUAAGGAUCGGCUAACUCCGUGCCAGCAGCCGCGGUAAUACGGAGGAUCCGAGCGUUAUCCGGAAUUAUUGGGCUUAAAGGGUGCGCAGGCGGGGAUCUAAGUCAGGGGUGAAAGACGGUGGCUCAACCAUCGCAGUGCCUUUGAUACUGGAUUUCUUGAAUGUACCUGAGGUAGGCGGAAUGUGGCAAGUAGCGGUGAAAUGCAUAGAUAUGCCACGGAACACCGAUUGCGAAGGCAGCUUACCAAAGUAUGAUUGACGCUGAGGCACGAAAGCGUGGGGAUCGAACAGGAUUAGAUACCCUGGUAGUCCACGCCCUAAACGAUGAACACUCGAUGUCGGCGAUAGACAGUCGGCGUCCAAGCGAAAGCGUUAAGUGUUCCACCUGGGGAGUACGCCCGCAAGAUUAAAACUCAAAUG
rnacentral:rRNA from 1 species